GUAUCCGGGUCCUCAAAUUCGGAUCCUUGAAAUUAGGGUUUUAAGUUUCACCAUCGCCACCAUCACCCCCUUAUAAAUUCGUAAUUCUACGCUAUUUUGCUCUAUAGCUGCCGCGAUACGGAUAGAUUUCUUCAACAGUCCAGCAAGUAAGAGAGAGGGAAACAACUAAAUCUGUGAGCAGACAUGAGGGCCAAGGUAAGCCUCCUGGCGUUGGAAUUUGUUAUUUAAUUUAUUUAUUUUUUAGAAUUUAAGCUACUUUAAUUCUAUUAUCAUGCGAAAUCUCCUUUCGCGAUUAUCACACUGCUGCUAUUAGUUUGUAUGUUCAUUCUAUUUCUGAUGCUAGUCGUAGUAUGUAGGCGUCAAGUCAUCCAGCUGUUAAUCUGUUAAGGAUCUCCGCUUACAUUGUUUUUUACUUUUUUAUGUUAGUGACCUCAAAGCGUUGAAUACCACAGAUUAGAUUUUUGAACGGAAAGGGAUAUACAUGUAUAAUUAUAUGCUUUAAUGGGAGAGAUUAUAAGUUUUGAUAUACCCUAAAAUUGUCUUACAUGAUCCAUGGUAAUUAUAUUUCUUUCAUUUCAACUGUGAUAAUAUUUUAAUUGAUUGUCUGUUGAUUACACUUUUUGUCACUGGAAUUUGAGAUUGAUUAUUGUGGUGUUUGCAGUGGAAGAAGAAGAGAAUGAGGAGGUUGAAGAGGAAGCGCAGAAAGAUGAGACAGAGAUCUAAGUAGAGAAUGAGGGAAAUGCUUUGCAAUGAGAUUUUGUGGAAGCAAUUUGUGUACAAUGGCUUCCUUGUCUCAUUUCUCAUCUUAUAAAACUCGUACCCUCUUAAUUAGUGUUAUUUAAAAACAUGAGACUUGUUUUGUCUAUGCUUAAUGUUUAUUUGUUUUGGACUAUCGCUUGCUUAUCUCAACUUUAUAUGAAUGAUACAAGUCCUUCAAUUUGGUAUUAAUAUUUCAGAUUAUUCAUUUUAUGUGUUCUACAAGAUUGUGAUUUUUAGGGUGUUAUUAGAGAAUGGUGAUAUGAUUUGUGCUAUUUAAUAGUCAUCCGUUCUGUCUCAUG
rnacentral:lncRNA from 1 species